GAGGGUACAGCUCAGUGGUAGAGCGCAUGCUUAGCAUGCAUGAGGUCCUGGGUUCAAUCCCCAGUACCUCCA
rfam:Camelus ferus unplaced genomic scaffold scaffold1786, whole genome shotgun sequence.